ACAUCUCUUUUUGUAUAUUAAUAAAAAGUUUAACCUGCCCACUGAUAUAUUAAAUGGCCGCAGUAUAUUAACUGUGCAAAGGUAGCAUAAUCAUUAGUCUUUUAAUUGAAGGCUGGAAUGAAUGGUUGGACGAGAUAUUUACUGUUUCAUAUUUAUUUAUAUUAGAAUUUUAUUUUUUAGUAAAAAAGCUAAAAUAAUAUUAAAAGACGAGAAGACCCUAUAAAUCUUUAUAUUUAAUUAAUUUUUAUAUAUUAGAAAUUAAAUUAUAUUUAUUAAAUUAAAUAUUUUAUUGGGGUGAUAUUAAAAUUUAAUUAACUUUUAAUAUUAAAAACAUUAAUUUAUGAAUUAUUGAUCCAAUAAUAUUGAUUAUUAGAAUAAGUUACUUUAGGGAUAACAGCGUAAUUUUUUUGGAGAGUUCAUAUUGAUAAAAAAUAUUGCGACCUCGAUGUUGGAUUAAGAAAUAAAUUUAGGUGUAGAAGCUUAAAAACUAAGUCUGUUCGACUUUUAGAUUC
rnacentral:rRNA from 1 species